GACGAACGCUGGCGGCGUGCUUAACACAUGCAAGUCGAGCGGUAAGGCCCCUUCGGGGGUACACGAGCGGCGAACGGGUGAGUAACACGUGAGCAAUCUGCCCAUCACAUCGGGAUAACUCCGGGAAACCGAAGCUAAUACCGAAUACGACCACCUCCGGCAUCGGAUGGUGGUGGAAAGUUCCGGCGGUGAUGGAUGAGCUCGCGGCCUAUCAGCUUGUUGGUGGGGUAACGGCCCACCAAGGCUUCGACGGGUAGCCGGCCUGAGAGGGUGACCGGCCACACUGGGACUGAGACACGGCCCAGACUCCUACGGGAGGCAGCAGUGGGGAAUAUUGGACGAUGGGCGAAAGCCUGAUCCAGCAACGCCGCGUGAGGGAUGACGGCCUUCGGGUUGUAAACCUCUUUCAGCAGGGACGAAGCGCAAGUGACGGUACCUGCAGAAGAAGCACCGGCCAACUACGUG
rnacentral:rRNA from 1 species